GAUGAAGAACGUAGCGAAAUGCGAUACGUAAUGUGAAUUGCAGAAUUCAGUGAAUCAUCGAAUCUUUGAACGCACAUUGCGCCCCCCAGUAUUCUGGCGGGCAUGCCUGUUCGAGCGUCAUUUCAACCAUCAAGCCCUGCUUGUGUUGGGGUCCUGCGGCUGCCCGCAGGCCCUGAAAACCAGUGGCGGGCUCGCUAGUCACACCGAGCGCAGUAGCACAUCUCGCUCAGGGCGUGCGGCGGGCUCCAGCCGUUAAAGCACCCACCUUUCGCAAGGUUGACCUCGGAUCAGGUAGGAAUACCCGCUGAACUUAAGCAUAUCAAUAAGCGGAGGA
rnacentral:misc_RNA from 1 species